GGAAUUGGAUUCCAUCCCUUGCCCUUCACCAGAGCCUGCGAUUUCCGGUCCAGUGUCUGCUGCCGAGCUCGUAGGCCGGAGAACGAUGGAGACGGAUGCGGCGAGGAACGCGAAGGAGUCGCUGGAGCUGGCCUUCCAGAUGUCCAACAUCCUGGAGACGGGCCUCGAUCGCCACACCCUCUCCCUCCUCAUUGCCCUCUGCGAUCGUGGCCUCAAUCCCGAGGCUCUCGCUGCCCUUGUCCCCGAGCUCUCCCCGCCACCCUCCAAGGAACCCAUCCCCUCCUCCUCCUCCUCCUCCUCCUCGCGUGCUGGUCUCUACCAGCCCUAAUUUCCCUCUCCACCUCCGCAGCCCUAAGAAAGGAUGGAACGGGAAUGGUUUAUUCAAUUUCGAACUUACUUCCCCACCCCGUUUAUCCUGCAUACAAAUGAUGGUUAAGUAACAUGAGGGUAUUACUUGGUGCUAAAUGGGGACCAUGAGGACUUGUGUAGGGGGUCUUUGUUGUCUUGAAGAAGCAAGGACCAUAAAAAGGUCGCAAAUAUUUACUGCAAUGGCGGAGAACUUGAUGAUUUUCUUUUCACUGGAAGCUCUAAUUCAUGUUUGUAAAGAAACCAUCAAUUGUAUGAACAUGCAUUAGUUUGAGAGUGUAGAUGGAAGGAAAAUAAAAAUCUCUAUAGUCUUGUAUUUUAACUUCAGUAUAUGAGGCUGUUCUCCUCACCAUCUGAAGUAUGAUAUGUAGCAGGGAUUUACACUUUGUUGAUGCAGACUAUGGAUUCAGUGGUUCCCAGGAUUGAAUUCA